rnacentral:rRNA from 1 species
ACGGAAGGCAGCAGUGGGGAAUAUUGGGCAAUGGGCGAAAGCCUGACCCAGCGACGCCGCGUGAGGGAAGACGGUCUUCGGAUUGUAAACCUCUUUCAGCAGGGAAGAUAAUGACGGUACCUGCAGAAGGAGCCACGGCUAACUACGUGCCAGCAGCCGCGGUAAUACGUAGGUGGCAAGCGUUAUCCGGAUUUAUUGGGUGUAAAGGGUGUGUAGGCGGGACUGCAAGUCAGAAGUGAAAAUCAUGGGCUCAACCCAUGACCUGCUUUUGAAACUGUGGUUCUUGAGAGUGGGAGAGGUAAACGGAAUUCCUGGUGUAGCGGUGAAAUGCGUAGAUAUCAGGAGGAACACCGGUGGCGAAGGCGGUUUACUGGACCAUUACUGACGCUGAGACACGAAAGCGUGGGGAGCAAACAGGAUUAGAUACCCUGGUA